rnacentral:rRNA from 1 species
CCUACGGGAGGCAGCAGUGGGGAAUAUUGCACAAUGGGCGCAAGCCUGAUGCAGCAACGCCGCGUGAGGGACGAAGGCCUUCGGGUUGUAAACCUCUUUUAGCAGGGAAGAAGCGAAAGUGACGGUACCUGCAGAAAAAGCGCCGGCUAACUACGUGCCAGCAGCCGCGGUAAUACGUAGGGCGCAAGCGUUGUCCGGAAUUAUUGGGCGUAAAGAGCUCGUAGGCGGUUUGUCGCGUCUGCUGUGAAAAUCCGAGGCUCAACCUCGGACCUGCAGUGGGUACGGGCAAACUAGAGUGCGGUAGGGGAGAUUGGAAUUCCUGGUGUAGCGGUGGAAUGCGCAGAUAUCAGGAGGAACACCAAUGGCGAAGGCAGAUCUCUGGGCCGUAACUGACGCUGAGGAGCGAAAGCGUGGGGAGCGAACAGGAUUAGAUACCCUGGUAGUCCACGCCGUAAACGGUGGGAACUAGAUGUAGGGACCGUUCCACGGUUUCUGUGUCGCAGCUAACGCAUUAAGUUCCCCGCCUGGGGAGUACGGCCGCAAGGCUAAAACUCAAAGGAAUUGACGGGGGCCCGCACAAGCGGCGGAGCAUGCGGAUUAAUUCGACGCAACGCGAAGAACCUUACCAAGGCUUGACAUAUAGAGGAAAAGUGUAGAAAUACACUCCCCGCAAGGUCUCUAUACAGGUGGUGCAUGGUUGUCGUCAGCUCGUGUCGUGAGAUGUUGGGUUAAGUCCCGCAACGAGCGCAACCCUCGUCCUAUGUUGCCAGCACGUAAUGGUGGGAACUCAUGGGAGACUGCCGGGGUUAACUCGGAGGAAGGUGGGGAUGACGUCAAAUCAUCAUGCCCCUUAUGUCUUGGGCUUCACGCAUGCUACAAUGGCCGGUACAGAGGGCUGCAAUACCGCAAGGUGGAGCGAAUCCCAAAAAGCCGGUCUCAGUUCGGAUUGAGGUCUGCAACUCGACCUCAUGAAGUUGGAGUCGCUAGUAAUCGCAAAUCAGCAACGUUGCGGUGAAUACGUUCCCGGGCCUUGUACACACCGCCCGUCAAGUCAUGAAAGUCGGUAACACCCGAAGCCGGUGGCCCAACCUUUUGGAGGGAGCUGUCGAAGGUGGGAUCGGUAAUUAGGACUAAGUCGUAACAAGGUAGCCGUCCCUAUAGUG